UAGCAUGGAAUAAUAGAAUAGGACCUCAGUUCUGUUUUGUUGGUUUCGGAACCGAGGUAAUGAUUAAUAGGGACAGUUGGGGGCAUUAGUACUGCAGUGUCAGAGGUGGAAUUCUUGGAUUUCUGCAAGACUAACUUCUGCGAAAGCAUUUGCCAAGGAUGUUCUCAUUAAUCAAGGACGAAAGUUAGGGGAUCGAAGACGAUUAGAUACCGUCGUAGUCUUAACCAUAAACUAUGCCGACUAGGGAUCGGACGAUGUUAUUUUACUGACACGUUCGGCACCUUACGAGAAAUCAAAGUUUUUGGGUUCCGGGGGGAGUAUGGUCGCAAGGCUGAAACUUAAAGGAAUUGACGGAAGGGCACCACCAGGAGUGGAGCCUGCGGCUUAAUUUGACUCAACACGGGAAAACUUACCAGGUCCAGACAUAGUAAGGAUUGACAGAUUGAUAGCUCUUUCUUGAUUUUGUGGGUGGUGGUGCAUGGCCGUUCUUAGUUGGUGGAGUGAUUUGUCUGCUUAAUUGCGAUAACGAACGAGACCUUAACCUGCUAACUAGUCCGUAUUACCCCGGUAGUACGCCGACUUCUUAGAGGGACUAUCGGCUCAAGCCGAUGGAAGUUUGAGGCAAUAACAGGUCUGCGAUGCCCUUAGAUGUUCUGGGCCGCACGCGCGCUACACUGAUCGGUUCAUCGAGCAUACACCUUGACUGAUAAGUCUGGGUAAUCUUUUGAAAACCGGUCGUGCUGGGGAUAGAGCAUUGCAAU
rnacentral:rRNA from 1 species